UGGAUAAGGAGAAAGAUCCCUUAUAAAGUUGUGUUGUUUAUUAUAAAAGGCGUUUGUUAAAAGAGAAGACGAAAUAAGUACUUAGUAUUAAACACUGAGUACUUUUUUAACAGACAAAUUCUAUAGGACAAUAACAUUUAAUAAUAAAGAAAGUAAAACUUUUGCUCUUGGAAGUUAAUAUCUCGGGUAGUAUUAGUUAAGGUAAGAGUUAACUAGCAUAGUACGCGUAGUCGUGACUGGAAGGUUGAUCGACCACAGUGGGACUGAAUAAAUCCCAUGACGACUGUCUCAGCAGUGAGGAAUAUUGGUCAAUAGCCUAACGGCUGAACCAGCAACUUGGAGGAAUGUAUAGCGAAAGCUAGCUGCAUUUAACUUAGCUAAAGUUGGUGUAGUAUUGAUUAUAUCGAAUAAAGUUCUAGAUGGGUUAUGAUGAUGACAUUUCCCAUCUAUGUGUCUUGACCAAAUUACGUGCCAGCAGUCGCGGUAACACGUAAAAGACUAGUGUUAUUCAUCUUUAAUAGGUUUAAAGGGUACCUAGACGGUAAAUCAAGUCCGAUAAGGAUACUAAUUUGACUAGAGUUUAAUAUGAGGGGGCAUAAAAGUACUGAUAAGUGGAGAGAUGAAAUUCUGUGAUACAAUAUACGGCACUGGUAAAGGCGAAGGCAUCUCAUUAUGUAAUAACUGACGUUGAGGGACGAAGGCUAUGUGUAGCAAAAAGGAUUAGAUACCCAAGUAGUCUUAGCAGAAAAUUAUGAAUGUCAUAGGAUAGAGCAAAAAAUUCUUUUCUAUAAAUGAAAGUGUAAGCAUUCCACCUCGAGAGUAAUAUGGCAACGUAGGAACUGAAAUCAUUAGACCGUUUCUGAAACAAGUAGUGAAGUAUGUUGUUUAAUUUGAUGGUCCGCAAAAAACCUUACCACAAUUUGAAUAGAAAAAACUCUUUUCAUACAAGCGCUGCACGGUUGUCUUCAGUUAAUGUCGUGAGAUCUUGGUUAGUUCCAUUAAAUUAACGUAAACCCUUACUUUAUUUUUAUAUAGAGUAGUUCACCGCUAGAUUGGAUGUGAUAACAGGGA
rnacentral:rRNA from 1 species